ensembl:antisense
AGGUCUAUAUACAGUAAGGAGUCCCUUCCCCCCUGCUCUCGGGGGAAUGUCGCCCUCCACAGACACCAGCGCAAGGAAGGAGCCCUCCAGUUGUAGGCCUCUGGAACAGAAGUCAAGUCUGCCUCCCCUCAGGGGAUCUUCCAGGAGGAAGGACAGUGGCCAUGGUGGGCACUCUUGGCAGGCAUGGAUGAAACAAGGUACUGUGUCAGUGGAAAAAUUGUCUACAAGAUGCUCGACAGGCUCUGCUGCAAGAAAAGCUGCCUUUCUCCAAAGUUUUGACACCUCUUGGCAAAAGUACGGAAGUGAAGAGCAGAGUCACUCAGGAGCUGAAUGGAGCUGUGUAACACUAGCAAAGCAUGAGGCUCCGUGGUGACAACUGAAAACGCCAGCAUCAGAAACUGUCACUGCCACUCUUUCUGCGCUGGUGUCAAAUCAGGAGGAAGCCCAUCUCUGAGUAGACGUGUGCCAUUGUUGAAGGAGGCUGCAGACUGAGUCUCAGCCUGCAACCCUGAAGGAGGCUUCGGCCUCGCCCCACUCGAGAAGCCAUCAGCUAACUCUGCACUUGCAGAAGGCAGGCAAGCAUGGGAUGCUGGAUGCCAACUCUGUGACCAACCAGAACAAUUUGUUCCCAGCAGGAAAUUUUCAAGCAACGGAGAGACCUGUGUGGUAUUAAGCCAUGGGAGGAAACAGCUGGAGCAGAGCAGAUGUGCAUCUUAGAAAUUCUGCACCCAGCUGCCACUGCCUGUCCUCAACAAAUCCCAUUACACGGCUGGGCUCAGGGACAACUCAGGAAAGUGUGGACACUUACUUAGCCUUUGGUUAAAAAGUAUGUUUAUAGCCCGAAGUCUAUACAACAGAUUGAUAGGGUUUGGGCUGGGAAAGAGAAAUGAGGCCCUUGCUCACCAACAGCAGAAGCCUGCUCCUGGGGUCUCAAAGGUCUUGAGCCAGUUGCCCAGGCCAGAGGGACAGAACGUGUGUGUGUGCUCUGACUUUGUCACUCGGCUUAUCCAGAAAGCAAAAUGGCUCUCUUGCUACGACGAUGACGCCCAGCCUCCGCCUAGUCCCCUCCAGCUGACCACAGGAGAGCAGACCAUGCCAGCUGCUGAGGAGGGACCGCCAGCCCAGAUGCAGGCAAGCCUGCUCAAAACACUGAUAAGAGGAGAAGGAAGAAGAGUUCAGAACCCACCAUUUUUAAAUACACUCUUUAAUAUCUGGCCUUGAACUCCCUUUUCAAUCACCUUUUGGAAAAAACUAACACUUCUAGACAAGUAAAAUGAAGACAAUUUAAAAAAAAAAAUUUUGAAAGACAAUAGGGCCUGUGCUGAGUUAUAUAAAAAGAAACCAAUGUAAGCUAUCUCCCAUAAGCUUUGGGGAUACUUCUAGCUUUUCAAACUCUCCAGGUGACUUGCAGAAGAGGUGAUGGUCUUGUCUGGAUGGCUGCAUCGCACUGUGUCUGUUACCACAGCAACCUCCAUUUAAAACAACAAACUCCCUAGCAUCAGGAGUCCAUGUGAUCAUUAAGGCACCUUUGUAUUUAAUCUGAAAUUCCCUUAGAAUCUGUCACUCCAUGAAUAUACACCGUGCAGUCAGGACAAGGGAGCCACGGUUGGCCCGAAUCUGAGUAGUCAGGUUACCUCCAUGGGCAAAGGGGAGCCCACUCACACCCCACGUGUGGGCUCGGAAGCCAAAGCUCAGUACCACAGGGAGAAGAUGGAAGGAGCAGAGCCGAGCACCUGUGUGAGCAGUGUCUGAGGCAACACAAUCGGCUGGCUCCUGCUCCCCUGAAACCUUUAGCACACACUUAAAUCCGUGUCUAGAUGAGUUUGAGUGUGCCAUGUUUUUAUUCCUACAAAAACUUAAGAGCUUUUUGCAUCAAGUGGAAAACCCAAGUUACCCCAGUUUGCUGAGCUAAGGUGGGAGGGAGCUUUGGAGCACCGCCCUUAGCCAGUGUCCUGACUCCCAGCAGGGCGGGGUAAGCAGGACUUGGAACAGGUGACUUACUGUACGGCUGCGGAGUGAGGUGAGGGGGCUGGACAGGAACCACUGGGGCAGCUGGGCCCAGGGGUGAAGGCUCGUCGGCAGCAGUGCCCGACUGCUGGAAAGCCAGGUCAAUCUCUUCGUCUGUCAGCCCUAGAGAGAAGAGCAGAGGACUCUCGUGAGUAUCUCUUGCCAGCGACCACCCCCAGCAAAAUCUUCCUUUGCAAGCAGGCCCUGACGGCCACAGAGCGCCUUGCAUUUGAGUGUGCUGCCUCCUCGAUUUCGGAUUCUUGGGAACCUCUCUCCGUCGCAAUUUAACCUUAAGCGACAGAAUAUUAGCCUCAACACUGCUUCCAAAUGUGGCUCAUUCAAUUUCCUUAAUUUAUCCUUGAGUUUAUUGCUGCUUUUGAAGUCGCUCCGUACUGCAAUUCUCCAUUCUUCCCCCGAAAACAGAUACCAUCAACUGCAAAUGUGGCUCAUUUUAAUCUGUAAUGGUGUUAAAAAAAGAGGGGAAAAAACUAACAAUAAUGCACGAAAACAGACAGGGAAACAAAAAACUAAUUAUUGGGUGAGACGACUAAUUAGUCUAGAUCGUUUCCGAAGACGGGAAUAAUUUGCUUUAUUUUAUGACAAAUGCAGAAAUAAAAAGAAAAAUC